GCCUCCGUAGCUCAGGGGAUAGAGCGCCGGUUUCCGGUACCGUAGGUCGGGAGUUCGAAUCUCUCCGGGGGCA
rnacentral:tRNA from 2 species